rnacentral:lncRNA from 1 species
UGAUGAAUCCUCUUGGGGUAGUUCGCCCCGUACCCCACCAUGUACGACAUCUUCAUCGGAUUGUCUCCGAGUAUGUAGUCCACCUGCCUCUUCGCAAGAAUCUGUAGGGUCCACGGCGUCACGCCGAGGUCCCCGCAGGUGAAGGUGUGGUUGGCCGAAGCCAUGUAUUUGGAGUAGGUGGUGAGCAAGAAGGUUAUGGAUGUUACAUAUUGUAGAUUGGUAGCCCCCAUCUUGUACAUCAAACCACCUAUAUAAUUAAGAUAAUCAUUUCAAUUAACCAUAAUUGAUAUUGAAAUAUGGAAUGAGUAUUAUUUUAAAUUUUAAUUAGGCUACCUUUGGUGUAUUGUGUGGUGGAGUAGGGGAAUUAGGCAGUAUUCUACACAUGAACUCCUCUGCUUGCUGCUUGUAGCCUCAACUGUUUCAUCAUUAUUCACUAAACUACCCUGCAUGCUAAAAUAUGACUAACAAAUCUUCAAAAACUAAGAAUUUUCCCAAUUUACUAUUCAAUUGGUGUCUCACCCUUGCUAAGAGGACCGAGCUCCGGCAUACUUGUUGUCCCAGCUGAAAAUAUCGAUGCCGUUGCCGCCGCCGCCCACCGACUUUGUGAUAUUUAGGUAAUAAGUCUCGUUGGUUGCUCUGAACAGCCAUGCGGCUCCCCAGAGCAACUCAUCCUGCCAACAACAAACCAAAUUUAUCGUAUAAAAUACGUCUCAAUAAAACACCUAUGAAUUCGGCACGUAUAAAAUUCGAACCCUAAAUUAUGAAUUUAUGGAGCAAAAUGAUAAAUUCAAUGUAAAUCUGCAAUAUGAUUGAAAAUGAUUCAUAUUAAUUAUUUAUUCGAUAUAUUCCUAAAUUCAUUUAAACCACGAAAAUAGUAUAGUAGUGUAAUAUAUAUACCAUGUAACCCGAAAAGGAGCAAUAGAAGGGGCAAACAUUAGAGCCAAGGGAGUCAUUAUACGACCCUCUAUGCUGCAAAGCAAAUUGCAACACAUCCUUAGCGGUCGCCAGCAGCAGCCGCGAGUAGCUGGGGUCCACUUUCUUGAACACGACGGAAGCCGCUGCCAGCGCCGCCGCCGUCUCGCCGGCCACCUCCGACCCCGGUUUUCCGGCGAGACGUAGUAGACGCUUCUCACCCGUGUCCAUAUCCUCGGGGCCUCUCCCCAACACCCCGUGGUCGGCGUUGGGGUCGCCGACGCCGACGUAGAGCCUCNACCGAAUUUUACGGUACGUUAAAAUUAAAAAAAUAAAUUAAAAUAAAAAAAUAUAUAUUUUACGACCGAAAAUUCGGUCGUUAAGAAAAAUUAAAUAUUAAAAUAUUAAAAUAAUAAUUAGCGACCGAAUUUUCGAUCGUUAAAAAUAAAAAAAUAAAAAUAAAAUCGGUCGUUAAACGGUCGUAAAUCGGUCGUUAAGGCCGCAAAAUUAACGACCAAAAAUUUCGGUCGUUAAUUUCGGUCGUUAACCGCGUCUUUUCUUGUAGUGGAAUGAGCGUAAUCGCCUCUUUCAUCGGGGAAGAAAUCGGUUUGGUUGGGCCCACCAACGAUGGCGCCUAUGAGCGUAUUUGGAUUUGGACUCGAUGUGUAGAAGUAAGGCUGAAAUCCAGCCCCACACUCCAGCCUCUCGGGGUGAGUCAUCACCGAGGGCAGGGACGACCCUCGGUGAUGAAUCCUCUUGGGGUAGUUCGCCCCGUACCCCACCAUGUACGACAUCUUCAUCGGAUUGUCUCCGAGUAUGUAGUCCACCUGCCUCUUCGCAAGAAUCUGUAGGGUCCACGGCGUCACGCCGAGGUCCCCGCAGGUGAAGGUGUGGUUGGCCGAAGCCAUGUAUUUGGAGUAGGUGGUGAGCAAGAAGGUUAUGGAUGUUACAUAUUGUAGAUUGGUAGCCCCC